rnacentral:rRNA from 1 species
GCCAGACUCCUACGGGAGGCAGCAGUGGGGGAUAUUGCACAAUGGGGGGAACCCUGAUGCAGCGACGCCGCGUGGGUGAAGAAGCGCCUCGGCGCGUAAAGCCCUGUCAGCAGGGAAGAAAAUGACGGUACCUGAAGAAGAAGCCCCGGCUAACUACGUGCCAGCAGCCGCGGUAAUACGUAGGGGGCAAGCGUUAUCCGGAUUCACUGGGUGUAAAGGGAGCGUAGACGGCCAUGCAAGCCUGGAGUGAAAGCCCGGGGCCCAACCCCGGGACUGCUCUGGGAACUGUGCGGCUGGAGUGCGGGAGGGGCAGGCGGAAUUCCUGGUGUAGCGGUGAAAUGCGUAGAUAUCAGGAGGAACACCGGCGGCGAAGGCGGCCUGCUGGACCGCGACUGACGUUGAGGCUCGAAAGCGUGGGGAGCAAACAGGAUUAGAUACCCCCGUAGA